CCAAUAUUGAAAACUUGAGAGUAACUAGUCAAAAAGAACGGGGAUGAAAUUUUGGCACAUUAAAGCUAGGGGGAAUUUUCUCAUUACCAUCAGAUAAGUCCUCCUCUUACUCCAGAAAAGCCAGCUCUUCAAAGUCAAAAAAAUGACACUGCAGUGAAUCUCUGUUCCUAUUGUGAAACUGUUCCCAUUUGAACAGCUAGCAGUCUCUUCUCCAACUCAUUUUGUCAGGAAAAGUUAAACAGAAAUCAAGGUUUCCUCAUAAAAAGUGUUUGAUUAUCCUAUUGAACUGACACAAACUGGAUUCAGCAAGCUAUAGGUGUAUAGAACAUUUUCAUACUUUAGACUAUAAUAGGAUUAAUCAUGUUACUCUACUAUCUUAACAGCCACGGAUGGGGGUUCUAUUGCAAGUUUGAAGGAGUCAAACAACGUGUGGGAUGAAUGCCAGUGAAAUUCAGAGAGGUUAUUGUGGCUUUCCAGCUCGGGAAGCUAUAAAGUCUUCAGCAGCACUGAAUCCAAAGCAGUCUUGCUAUGGGGCACAUGCUUCUUCUCCAUAGAUGUUUGAUCAAGAUCUUCAAGAUAUGCCUCUGAGGUGUGUUGUUUCCCUUCUAGAAUCCCAGUGCUCAGAGGAAGCUGCUUGUACCAGCCACAUACAGAAAAGCACCCUGGGAAUCUGGAUUGUGAUUUUAGUUUGAAGGAAAUAUGGAUCACAGGAAACUGCUCUCACACACAGAGAUCAUAAUUGUACAAAGUUACAGUGUAUUCCUGAUGACUUUGGUAGCUCCAAGGGAUUUCACUGACUUCAGAAAAUCCGAAUGAUACAAGUUCCAAGUGCCCCAUCCAGAUGAACUUUAUACUGCUGUCACUAUUCUCAUAAGAGGCCUUUGGGAGCUACUCUUGAUCCUGGAACAAGAGGCAGAACUGCUCUGGUUUGGCUUGUUCCCCUUCCAGAAGACCCUGCUGGUAAACAGAGUUCCCAGUGUCAGUGGGAUGUUGUUUAACAAACUGAGACGGCUAUGUUCUAGUCCACUACAGGAUCAACAGUGAAAUCUUGCUGGCCUGUAUACAUCUACCUUGAUGGCUUAACACCUUUAAGGCAUGACUUGAAGUGAGGUGUAUAAGCCCACAGUUGCAAUCCCAACCAAAUCUUUCUCCACUGUAGUGAUACCUUCUGCUAUUUACAUUUAAAUUCCAAGUAAAAUUCUCGAGACCAAUUGUGUUAUUAGAAGUGCUUCAAGUUGAGCAGCUGAACAUCACUUUUUCAGGAAAGCCUGGUUUGGUCUUCAGAGGGACCCAGCCUCUUAGGUGUUCUCAGGGUCAGAUCCUUGCUAUAUAACCACUCACUGUGUCCUUGGGCUUCUUGCAAAGUAUUCCUAAGCUUGUCUGCUUGUCUUUAGAGAUGACCUUCACCCACUUUUUUCUUUCUUUUUUUUUUUUUUUCAUAUUAACAAUCUACUGAUUAGUACAUUUGUUUCCACUUCCUUUCGACAGUUAAAAUGUCCUCUUCCUCAACUGACCAUUACAUGUAAAACAUGGUCUCUUAGUAGGGACCGGAUCCUGACUUUCUUCUCUGUUAAAUAACUGCCCAGUUACAAAGACAUCAACUCACUGAAGAUGUUUUUUUUUUUUUUUGCCAGAACAAAACAAAUCUUGUAUUCCCAAGGCACUCAAUUUCUGAAGGGUAUUCCAGAACAGCAGCCACCUCAUAAUAAAGCACUCAAAUGCAUUUUUCAAAAACUAGUAAAAAAGCUCUGUAUAUAUGAAGCAUAAUUGCACAGCCAAGGAGGAUUACGCUAUUUUGAUUUUAUUAGCUGACUUUGUUUUAGAUUGAAGUAUCCAAAGAUGACAUAAGGACUUUUGACCAAAAAUAAACAAACAAAAACACAAAAUCUAAAAAAUGAAGGGCUUUCUAUUGAAGUUUUUCCUGCUUUCCAGUGGCGUUCAUUUCUUUCACAGUAGCACAAAUCUCCAAAAGGACCAAACACCACAAAAGAUGUCAGUCUUUAGGUCAUGGAUGACAAGUAUCUUUUCAGUACUGAAAGGACAGGUGUUUUGAAAUGAUACCUAUUCUUGAAACUGAAUUCUCAGUGAGACCCACUGAUGUUAGGCACUCAGCUUCUGCUGCUGAAUGUCAUUGUAUUUUGGAAGCUAAUUUCCUUUGAAAAUCCUAGCACAAAGGAACAUCAAAGAGCUAUGACUUCAUAUCAUAAAGAGCAUCAUAUUAUUGUGAAAUAAAAGAAGGGAAUAUAUAGUGAAGGGUUUUCAUUUGUUUGUUUGCUAGCUUUUCUUUCAAGACUCCAUUGGCAAUAGAAAAUUUAGGAAAAAGCGGAGACUGCAGAGUCUAUUAAGAAGAGAGAAUUUCAAAAUAUCUGUGGCUAAAAAAAAAUCCAAAAUGUUUUGUUUCAACAAAGUUCAGAGUUUUUAAGGAAAGAGGAUGCUAUUGAAAAUGAUGACUAGCAAAAAAAAAAAAAUCAGUCUUCUAACAGAAACAUUUCAGUAGAAAUCUUUCAGUUAGCUAAAGCUGUGCUAUCAUGUUGGGGGAAGGACAGGGGACUGUGUUAUUUCUGGCAUCACCUAGGUCAACAAUCAGCUAGAAGAGAGGAUCCUACAACUGGUCCCUGUGGAACGAGUACAUUCCCGGAAAGAGAAAGUACCUUGGGAGGCUUAAGAAAAGAUGAGGAAGGUUUAUUUUCCCUUUUCUGGUUUCCUGAAGGUUGAAAGGAAAUGAGACACAUCCCAAAUCAAAUCCUGCCCAGAAUGUACAACCUGACCGCUUUAUCCUGAACACUUUGUCCCAGCCUACUCCACAAUGGAAAACACUUUCUUGUAGCCACAUACAGCAUAGAAAUAACUCAGCUCUCAGUAUACAGGCUGCUUUUUGCAGGACUGACAUUUUAAAAAAUCUAAUCUUGAGAUUUACAGAAAGGAAUAUUUUCAUUGUCUUUAGGAUGCCUCUACUGCCUGCAGUGAGUGAUUUUUUUUCCUUUCAAUUUUCAUGGGAUCAAAGGCAGGUCAGUACUGAGUAUAUGGAGAUCUUGUCCAGUAUUGUUGAAAGAUGAAAGCAUUUGAUAAAGAAAUCAUUAAGUGUCUGUUUUUACUGAGGUA